CUACGAGUUGCUGCAGUGGGGAAUAUUGGACAAUGGGCGCAAGCCUGAUCCAGCAAUGCCGCGUGAGUGAAGACGGCCUAGGGUUGUAAAACUCUUUCGCUAGGGAAGAUAACGACUGUACCUAGUAAAGAAGUCCCGGCUAACUCCGUGCCAGCAGCCGCGGUAAUACGGAGGGGACUAGCGUUGUUCGGAAUUACUGGGCGUAAAGAGUUCGUAGGCGGACUGACAAGUUAGAGGUGAAAUCCCAGGGCUCAACCCUGGAACUGCCUUUAAAACUGUCAGUCUAGAGACCGGAAGAGGUUAGGGGAAUACCUAGUGUAGAGGUGAAAUUUGUAGAUAUUAGGUGGAACACCAGUGGCGAAGGCGCCUAACUGGUCCGGUACUGACGCUGAGGAACGAAAGCGUGGGGAGCAAACAGGAUUAGAUACCCGCGUAGUC
rnacentral:rRNA from 1 species